GCUCGCGCCUUUUCUGUGUCGUCGCUACCCCCGUCGCAGUGGCAGCUUGGGACACCAAUAGGAAGCCGCCUCUGUGGCGAGAGCCACUGGGCGGGCCAACUGUAGCCAAUGAGAUGUGGGAAUGGGCGUGACCUGCUCAACCAGGGGCCAAUCGAAAGUGUGAGGAGGUGAGGCUCGAAGAGGGGCUGCUGCCAAUAUAUGGUUGAAAUGGGUGGAGCUAGGCGGCGGUGCAGCCAAUGGGGAGUGGCAGUGGGCGUGUCCGGAUGGCCCCUGGCGCCAGCGCUGGGGAGCCCCGUGCUCUCAGUGCCGUUUCCGCCAGGCCCGUGGAAGAGGUGCAGCCACUGGUGCUGAGGGGGAGGGGCCGAGGCGGCUGCUGCUGCCGCCGCCGCCGCAGAGGGUCUCGGUCCCGUCUGCUGCCCAGGAAACGCCGUGGCGCCGAGCCGGGCCUAGUGGUGCGCGGGGGCCCGGGCAUCGGGCCGGCCAGGUUUCCCCAUGUCCGUGACGUGCUGGCCGAGGCUCUGCGGCUCCUCCCCACCCUUGGAGCAGCCAGUCGCUACCUUUUGGACUCCGUGAUCCCUGACGGACGUCAUGAGCAUUGCAAUCCCUCUGGGAGUCACCACACCAGAUACAUCCUACUCAGAUAUGGCUGCAGGAUCCGACCCAGAGUCCGUGGAAGCUAGUCCAGCUGUCGAUGAGAAGAAUGUAUACUCCAGUCAUGGCUAUGAGGCCACGCAGAGGCACAGCUAUCGAGGGCUGCCUUAUGCAGAUCAUAAUUAUGGAGCUCCUCCUCCUCCGACCCCUCCAGCAUCUCCCCCAGUUCAGACUAUCAUCCCUCGGGCCGAGCUGAAUGGCUUGCACUCACCUGACGAGGAGAACUCCGGGGACAGUGAGAGCUCCUCAGAGGGAGAGUCCAUUCCCAGCUGGUGUCACUGCACUCUCUCUCAAGAUGGCUUCCUCAUCAAGUGUGACAAAUGCAGGGGAAUGAGCAGGGGAAAAGUGAUCAGACUCCGCCGCCGGAAGCAGGACAAUGUGUCAGGUGGAGACAGUAGUGCAACCGAGAGUUGGGAUGAGGAACUCUCUCCCUCCACAGUGUUGUACACAGCUACGCAGCACACACCAACAAGCAUCACUCUCACUGUUAAUCGGGUCCGUAGAAACAAACCUAAGAAGCGGAAGAGGAGUAUGGAGAAAGCUCGCACUGCACCAAAGGCCAAGAAGAUCAAGGCCUUUCGAGAAGGUUCACGGAAAUCUCUGCGGAUGAAGAAUUCUCCUUCUGAAGCACAUGCCCUGGAUGAGAACACAGCUGAGGGUUGGGAGAACCGGAUACGGCUCUGGACAGAUCAGUAUGAAGAAGCCUUUACUAACCAGUACAGUGCUGAUGUACAGAACCUCCUGGAACAGCAUCUAAGUGCCAAUAAAGAAUUUGUGGGCAAAACUGCUGUGCUGGACACAAUCAACAAGACAGAGUUGUCCUGCAAUAAUACAGUUAUUGGGUCCCAGAUGCAGUUGCAACUGGGAAGAGUGACUCGGGUUCAGAAGCACCGGAAGAUCUUGAGGGCAGCAAGAGACUUGGCAUUAGAUACCCUUAUAAUUGAAUAUCGAGGAAAGGUUAUGUUACGGCAGCAAUUUGAGGUCAAUGGGCAUUUCUUCAAAAAGCCAUACCCCUUUGUGCUGUUCUACUCUAACUUCAACGGUGUUGAGAUGUGUGUGGAUGCCCGCACCUUUGGCAACGACGCCAGGUUCAUCAGGCGUUCCUGUACACCGAAUGCAGAGGUCCGUCAUGUGAUUGCUGAUGGGAUGAUCCACCUGUGUAUCUAUGCACUCACCACCAUUGCCAAGGACACAGAGGUCACCAUUGCCUUUGACUAUGAGUACAGCAUCUGCAACUAUAAAGUGGACUGUGCAUGUCACAAGGGGAACAGGAAUUGCCCUGUACAGAAACGGAACCCAAAUGCUGCAGAACACCUACCUCCACCUGUUCUAGGCACACUGAUGAUUGGGGCAGAAACAAGGCGUCGGAAAGCCCGUAGGAAGGAACUAGAAUUGGAACAGCAGGGCAUUGCAUCAGAUGAGAACAGCAACCAGCAGGCAGAGGAGGUUCCAGAGGGACCUUCUGCAGCCAGUGACAAUGAGGCUGCAGAUAAAGAAGAGAAGCAAGAGGAGGGGGAAAGAGAAGAGGCUGUGGAUGAGCAGGGAGCCCUGGCUCACAGCAGACGGUCCCGGGAGGAGAGGAAGGUAGAAGCCAUCAUGCACAUGUUUGAAAACUUGGAGAAGAGAAAGAGAAGACGAGAGCAGCCAUCAGAUCGGAGCAGCACAGAUGCUGAAUUCAUCAUUAACCCUGAGGCUUCUGAGUUGGAGGAGGUGAAAAUGGAGACUCCUGAAACUGAAGACAGCAGUUCAGCUUUAAGUGGGGCUGCUCCAGGCACUCCUAACAGCAUCAGCAAUGUUGGGGUGAACACACGGAGGUCCACACAGACAGCAGAUGCAAUUCCAGAAAAGACCAUCACUAAACCAGCUCAAGCCAAACCCUCCAGGCCCCGACCCAAAAGCCGUUUUUCUCGAUAUCGGACCAGUUCAGCACAAAGAUUGAGACGGCAGAAGCAGGCCAUUUCCCAGCAGACCGAGCUCUCCCAGGCUGUCCCAGAGGAGGGAAGCAGUAUCAGCUCAGUAACUGCUGCAGAUGUCAGCAGUGUAGAGGGUCCAGGAGAAAGUAGGCAAUUGAUGGGGUCUGACCCAGCUGUGGUGCUGGCUGCAGGAUCCCAGUCUAACCGAGCCACAGUAAAGUACCCCAAAACUAAAAAGGUAAGUGGUGUGAGAGUCUUCAUCAAACAUGGGAGGGGGUGGGCUCUGCCAGGCCCGUCUGGAGUCUCUGGAAGACUUGCAGUGAAUCUGAUGCACAGUGUGAAUAUAGUUCUCCUCCAGUGUGUUUCCUUCAGGACACUGUUGCUGUCUGUGAUGAGAUAUAUCAGGUGCCUCCCCCCUGUGCAUUUCCUGCAGAACAUAACUGAGCUCUUGGUGUGGUGGUGUCUUGGGCAGUACACCCUUACAUGCUCUGUUUUAUUGCUUUCAUUCUUCGCCUGUUCCUGCUGUAUUCGUAAUUGCUCUCUUCUUCAGUAUCUAGUUACAGAAUGGCUGAAUGACAAGGCAGAAAAGCAGGAAUGCCCCAUCGAGUGUCCUUUACGUAUUACUACAGACCCCACUGUUUUGGCAACAACCCUCAACAUGUUGCCAGGUCUUAUCCACUCCCCACUGAUUUGUACCACACCCAAACACUACAUCCGCUUUGGCUCGCCUUUCAUCCCUGAGAGACGUCGAAGGCCUCUUCAGCUGGAUGGGAUAUACAGCUCCUGUAAAAAGCGUUGGAUGAAACAAGCCCUGGAAGAAGGGAUGACUCAGACCUCAUCUACUCCACAAGAGAACAGAACCCAAUGUCUAUACCAAAGUAACCAGAGCAGCAGUUCUUCUAGCAUCUGCAAGGACAAUGCAGACUUGCUGAGCCCCCUGAAGAAGUGGAAAUCUCGCUACCUGAUGGAACAGAAUGUUACCAAGUUACUGAGGCCACUAUCUCCCAUCACGCCUCCACCUCCUGGCUCAAUGAGCCCGCAACUCACCACACCCUGCUCAUCUCUGCCAGGAGAGGAGGAAAGUCGCAAUGGUUAUGGCAUGAUGUUCUCACCAAUUCCUUCUCUGGCUGCUAGUCGCUGCAAUACUCCACUACAGUUUGAGAACGUAUCCUCCCCUGAGAGUUCCCCUGCGCAUAGGCCCGAGUCCCUGUCACCCGAGCUCUGCCUUCGAACAGACUUGGAUUUGGCAAAGGUGGGCUACCUGGAUUCCAAUGCUAACACCUGUCCAGAGAGGCCAUCGCUACUGAGCUCGGGCCACUCUGAUCUGGCUCCACAGUCCUCCAUUCACUUCACUUCUGAGACCAACUUCCCAGGAAAGAGUGGGGAGGCACAGCUGCUGCUAAGAAGCUCCGAUCAGGCUUUUCGGACAGAGUUUAAUUUAAUGUAUGCCUUCUCCCCUUUGAACGCUAUGCCCCGUGUAGAUGGAUUGUUGCGGGCUUCCCCUCAGGUGGGAGACAGGAAGCCCCUGAGUUCAGAAGGGGGAUGUUGCAGCUCUCCUGCAGAUGGAUACUUCAGCAGACAUGAGCCGGGACUUCUUAAAGAGACAUUGCAUGGAUCCAUGUCUCCUGGUGGUGAGCGGGUUUGUGAAGGAGUCAAAUCUGCUCCCCAAAACCCACCACAAAGGAAAAAGGUUUCUCUGCUGGAGUACCGCAAGCGAAAACAGGAAGCCAAGGAGGGAAGUGAUUCAGUGCGAUGCACAGUGACUCCUACCCGACAAGGCAGCAACAGCUCUGUGACUGACACAGAUGCCAGCAAUGUGCUGGGCUCAGUAGUACGAGCCCCAUCCUCCCCACAAAGUGGCUUCUCUCCCUCACAUCCCCCCCUGCCUCACAUAGAGGAGAUCAGCCCACCAGACCUGAGGGUGGCUAGUUCCUUGACCUCACACUGCAAAUCCCAGGAGAACAUCAGCAGUAGGUGGAUGGUCCCCACAUCUGUGGAGCGGCUUCGAGAGGGCCGUGGUAUUCUCGAGAAGGUUCUGCGCAGUGGUGCAAAGAUAUCCCAGAGAGGAGAGCCCUCACCAACAGGUGACAGCACUGCUGAGAGAGAUCCAGGUACUGCUGAGGGAGACACCCCAGAAGUUCUCAGUGCUGCACUCAAAGGACCAGCAGUUUACAGCCCUUCUAGAUACAGCUACCAGCUCCUGCAGUCUGACAGCCCCCGAGCAGAGUCCCAGGCCCUCCUUCAGCAGAGUUCCUCCCCCUACAGAGGACACUCUACUCCAUCUCCUGGAUACAGCUACCGAGCAGCUCCACCAAGAACAGGACACAACCCCGCUCAGGGCUCGUCGGAAGCUUCCCUUUCCUCCACCUCCUAUUCCAGCCCUGCCCAUUCAGUUCCCACGGACUCCCCAGCUCUCUUUGCAGGGAAUUCUGGGUAUUACAGCAGCCAGCAGCACUCUGGAAGUAGCAUUAAUAGCAACCUUCUGAAGAAGAGUCAGUCUGCUGCUGCCAGUCCAGCACAGCAGGUUGCUGCAGACUCAGUGUCCUUGGGGUCGGUUUCUCAGCCUUGCACAGGAGCAUCAGGCUCCAGCUCUGCUCCCCAGAGUUCCAGAUCAUUGCAGUCAGACUUGCGGACUAUCAGCCUGCCUAAUUCUGGGCAGCCUGCUCUCCACCAGAGCUCCAGAGGGCCAGGGGUUUCCAGUUCACAGCACUAUCCACAUCAUGGGGGAGGCAGUGUCCAUCAGUAUAGACUGCAGCAGCUUCAAGGUCCAGGAGUAAAGACUCAGACAGGACUUUCCUAGGGAUGCCUGGAUCCAAGGAGGACCGAAUUGCCCAUAACUCCUUCCAGCUGCCUCUGGAAGUGGCUUCUGGGCCAAUGCUGGGAGCUUGCACCUGAUGCUGGGGGCCCAGGGGGUCAGAUGCUGGAGUCUGGAGUAAAUGAGUCAGAUUUAUGAGCAGAGGCAGCCUCUGCCCUUGGAGGAGGAUGCAAAUUUCUCUGAGGCAGAGACUAGCAAAGCUGGAUACAUUGUAGGAAAGCAAAUGGUUCUAAGUGCAAUGACUGCAAUGCAGCCUCUGUCUCCUGUCCAUGCCCAUAGCUGUAGUCACUUGUGCAGUGAGGACAUCUUUUUAAGUAUGAAAACAAUUUAAAGAAAAUUCUGGGGGAAGUUAAACUCCAGUUCCAAAGCUCCCUUGCAGGUCAGGUUCUCAGUUCAUCUGGGGGGGGUUUCAUCCGUUAUGAUCAUUCCAGUCACAACAGACCAGCGCAUGCACCACCUUUAGGCCUGGGCUGUGACCCCCACAACCAGACCCAUUUCCAUUGUGACAGACUCCAAGAACUGGUCAGUUAGCGCUGGGACUAGGAGACAGUGAGGGUGUGGGGGGCUCUGUAGGAUGUAACUAAAUGGGGGGCGGUUCCUGUGACUGUCACUAAUGGGGAUCUGUGAAUGUUUGUCACUAGCUGGGAAACUGAAUUGGGGUCGUAUGCUGCAGUGUAUCAUCAACGGGAAGGUUUCCAUGAACAUUGUCACUGUGUGACACUGGGUGGGGGGUGGGGGAUGAGUAGGGGUGACAUUGUGGCGUCACUGCUAUGGGGACUGUCCAAAUGAGUCAUGUUCGUACUGGGGUCUGUGGUGGGCAGUGGAGUGUGUGUCCCAGAGUGCAUGGUUGGUGGGGACUCCAGGCCUCGGUAAGUUGAGUGCCGUAGGUGUAAAGUAUCACACACAGUGAAUGUGAGCCUUGGGGUUCCUCCCACCUGGGGGUCACAUGCAUAGAGUGGCGCCAAAGCCAGCCCAAAGGGGGUGCGCUGUCAGUUCAGCUCCAUACAAUUGCCAGCUUCUUUCUCACUUGUUUACUGUAAUAUCAGGCGUGUUUUUAUUUAUCUAAUUUUAUAUUCAGUUAUAACCAUAUUAGGUUAGCUAAUAUACAACAGGUAGAGUCCCUGGUGCUGCAGUGGGCCUUCUCCUUUUUCUCUUGGACGAGAUAAUGCUGUGAGUCUGUCUCCCUGUCUUUCAAAUGCACAGUCUUCUUCCUUUUUUAGGGCUGUUACAAGUUCUCUACUUCACAAUUGAAAUCAGGUGUUUGUUCAAGGUAGGGGAGACUUUUAAAAUAUUAAAACAAAGUAACUUUCUCCAACAGUCUGGCUGAGUGUGUGUUGGGGAUGGAACUUGUCACCUGGAACACGGGUGUCUCUGUAUACUGUAUAAAAUAGGUGUAAACUUCACUCAGUUUAGACCUGGGUGUGUAGUCUCCCAUUUCAUGCUGUGUGCAGCAUGGGGCAGGCAGGCUCUGCCCUGCCUAGUGGCAGCAGUGGAUUUGGGGGUUGGGAGCAGCAUGCAGAGGUUCCAGCACCUCAGCAUGUGCAGGGUGCAGAAGGGAGGCACCCUAGAAAGCUCUUGGAAAGGUGGGGGCUGCAGCUUCUGACUCUAGUGGGGUUUUUACACCAUGCUGUAACAUUUGAACUUUCACAAGAGAUGUAAUAAUUUUGAUAAUAAAAAUACUUAACUUGAAAAUCAACAUUUUGGAAUUUUCCUUCCCAUUUUUUAGCGGCUUUAAUGUCCUCGCCCUGAGAACAGACAUACGGCCAGGAUCUUCGUUUCCUGAGAGGGAAACCAUUUCACGAGCAGGGCUGGAGCAGCACCGCAGAUGCAGAGGGAGAAGGACCCUGGUAUAGCUGCUCAGAGGGACGGACAGGAGCCGGUUGAAUUUCUCAGGGCACAGGAGGAUCAGGCUUCUCAGCUGGAAGAGACACUGAUGAACUUGCUCAAGCCACAGGAGACAUGCAAUUGGGAGCUCUCCCUAAUAGAGAGGCUCAUAGAACCAGUGGCCAAAUGAAUUCAACCUCCUCCUGGUGUCUCCUGUCCAUCCCUUUGAGCAGCAACCUGCUGCUGAGGCCACUGAACCAAUUAGUGUAUCCCUGCUGCUGCUCAGGGUGCUGCUGAGCUGCAGGAUCCUAUUUCAAGGACUGUCCCUUCCAAGUGACCGAGAGGAGAACAGGGAGCCUGCAAGACUCCUGGGACUUCACCCUCCAGUGGCACCAAAACCCCUCACCGGGGCUCCUCCCUUAGUGACCAUCUGUGGGAGUCCUACACCCCUGUAGUAGAAAAAGAGAGCUUGAGACAUGAGGCCUGGUGAGACUAAGGCCCAAGCAGAGUCAAGACCUGCCACUCAAGAGCAGGGUUAGCAAGAGUCAGGCCCUGCCCUGUUAAAGCAGAGGCCUGCUUGCACAUUUGCUGUCCAAUACAUGAACUUGGCAGGAACAAGGCUGCCACUGCAAAAACACAAGCAUUCAUAGGCAGUAGGUAUUCACGUAAACACAUUCCCGGGGCAUAGUGCUGGAAGAGUGGGGUUAUGAUGUAAACACACUCCCUGAAGAUGGCACAGGGACACACUGACCAGCUUUCAGGAUAUGGUCAGCCUGAUGGACAGAGAUGUUUUCAUGGAAGCAACUUGUGCAAGGUGCAAGGUGGUAACUAGCCACGUCAGAGGGGUGAUACGUAACUUGUGCUAGUGUAUAAAGAGGAUCACGGGAGGUGUUUGUCCAGCUGAGGGGGGAACGAAAAGUCCCAUUGUUCACGGGGCUGAGUCCAUUGUCACGAACCUACAUGCAUUAGUGGCCCCGUAGAGUCGGCCGCAUGUUACUACCGAGCUUUGUCAGCAAUAAACCUGGUGUGCGUCUUCCCUA